CGCCAGCAGCCGCGGUAAUACGUAGGGGGCGAGCGUUGUUCGGAAUCACUGGGCGUAAAGGGAGCGUAGGCGGAGCCGUAAGUUAGGAGUUUAAUUCCCGGGCUUAACCCGGGGCUGGCUUUUAAUACUGCGGUUCUUGAGUAUGGAAGUGGGAGAUGGAAUUCCAGGUGUAGCGGUGGAAUGCGUAGAUAUCUGGAAGAACACCAGUAGCGAAGGCGGUCUCCUGGUCCAAUACUGACGCUGAGGCUCGAAAGUUAGGGGAGCAAACAGGAUUAGAUACCCUGGUAGUCCUAACCGUAAACUAUGGAUACUAGAUGUUGGGGGAGUCAAUCUUUCCAGCGUCGUCGCUAACGCAUUAAGUAUCUCGCCUGGGGAGUACGCCCGCAAGGGUGAAACUCAAAGGAAUUGACGGG
rnacentral:rRNA from 1 species